GGUCAUCCUGAUGUUAAUUAUGAUGUCACUCCCAAAGCACAAAGCACUAUUUUAUCUUUGCCAAACCUAUAUUUUCUGGGUAUUUCUUCUAGAAUCCUAGGACUGGAUUCUGGAAAGAAGAGAGAGAUGCUGGAUAUGUUGGGAGACUUGGAACAGCCUCAUCCUGGCAGCACAAGAUAAGGAAAAUGUGCUCUUAUUGUUCAGCUGAGAAAUAUUAUCAAGAAACAGGGGAUCUGCCAUAUCAGAAACCCAACUGAAUGGAGAUCUGGUACCAUUUUGCUGACUGACAUAUUCUUAGACAACAGUCUGACCAAAGCAUAAUUAGCCUCCACCUGUCCAUGAACUCAAUUACUGGGGAAACCUUAAAGAGGCAAAAUCCGUUCCUUUCUGAAUUUCAGAUGAAGGCUUCAAAAGCCUGCUCAGAGGACUUCCCAGAAUGCUUUGGUGGCUUUGCUGCAUAGGCCACCAUCAUGUAAAUGUGGUCCCUUUGCUUGGCUAAGAUUGUUCAUAGCCUCCAUGUAGCACAGACAGAACUAUUAUCUACUACACCUUCUACCAUGGUUGGUCUUUGCAGACUAAGCAUGUUCAAAAAGGUCAUCACUGUACCUAUCUACCCAGGAUUCCUCUGGCCGAGUAAGCCAAGGAAUUUGGUGGUGUGUAUAGUGACUCUUGGUUCUGGCCAGAUUUUGGCAACACUCAAGUUAAAGCCAGGAAGCUAACAUUGUCUGCUUGGCUUUGAACAUACUUACUGGCUAAGUAGUUUGCAACAGAAGCCUUAAUAGUCCAAUUCUUCUAUAACGUUUUCUUUCCCCAGAGCCCUUUUGGAAUAAAGAAUCGAUCACUAAGUCAAUCAAAAUACAGAUUUUCUCAAGAUGGUGACACUUGAGAGUUCAGGUUUGGAGCCAGGAACUGCUGACCUCAGGCCUCAUGCCCAAGCCCGUCUUCUUGGUGUCAGUUUUCUCGGGAUCCAGGAGAACUAUCUGGCUCCAAGAUGCUGCUCCACAGCUGGGGCCAUGAGGUCACUCGGUCUAGCUGAUCUGAGGGCUGCUAUAACACUCCAUGAGUGUAUCCAGGCAUGAAGCAAAGAGAGCAAACGGAAGUGAGACAAAGCGACAGACUCAAGGCCAACCUCCAGUGACGCACUUCCUCCUGGGAGGUGGCACCGUGUCCCCAAACAACAUUACCGCUGGGAACCAAGUGUCCAAACCCAUGAAGCCAUGGGAGAUGUUUUCAAUUAAACCACCACAGUG